CUGCACAUUGACAGGCAGCGGGUGAGACUGAGAUAAGCGGCCGAGAGCCACAAACCGGGGGAGUCACAGGGGCCCCCCGACCGCACUGUGCACCCAGCCUGGGGGGGCCUGACCGGGGCCGUAAUAACUCCCUGACCGGGGCCGUAAUAACUCCCUGACCGGGGCCGUAAUAACUCCCUGACCGGGGCCGUAAUAACUCCCUGACCGGGGCCGUAAUAACUCCCUGACCGGGGCCGUAAUAACUCCCUGACCGGGGCCGUAAUAACUCCGUGACCGGGGCCGUAAUAACUCCCUGACCGGGGCCGUAAUAACUCCCUGACCGGGGCCGUAAUAACUCCGUGACCGGGGCCGUAAUAACUCCGUGACCGGGGCCGUAAUAACUCCGUGACCGGGGCCGUAAUAACUCCGUGACCGGGGCCGUAAUAACUCCGUGACCGGGGCCGUAAUAACUCUCUGACCGGGGCCGUAAUAACUCUCUGACCGGGGCCGUAAUAACUCUCUGACCGGGGCCGUAAUAACUCUCUGACCGGGGCCGUAAUAACUCCCUGACCGGGGCCGUAAUAACUCCCUGACCGGGGCCGUAAUAACUCCCUGACCGGGGCCGUAAUAACUCCGUGACCGGGGCCGUAAUAACUCCCUGACCGGGGCCGUAAUAACUCCCUGACCGGGGCCGUAAUAACUCCGUGACCGGGGCC